GAUGAACGCUGGCGGCGUGCCUAAUACAUGCAAGUCGAGCGAACAGACGAGGAGCUUGCUCCUUUGACGUUAGCGGCGGACGGGUGAGUAACACGUGGAUAACCUACCUAUAAGACUGGGAUAACUUCGGGAAACCGGAGCUAAUACCGGAUAACAUGUUGAACCGCAUGGUUCAACAGUGAAAGACGGUCUUGCUGUCACUUAUAGAUGGAUCCGCGCCGCAUUAGCUAGUUGGUAAGGUAACGGCUUACCAAGGCAACGAUGCGUAGCCGACCUGAGAGGGUGAUUCGCCACCCUGGGACUGACAGACCUUCCACACUCCUGCUGGAGGCAGCCGUAGGGAAUCUUCCGCAAUGGUCGAAAGCCUAACGCGGCAACGCCGCGUGUGUGAAGAAGGUCUUCGGUUCGUAAAACUCUGUUAUUAGGGAAGAACAAAUGUGUAAGUAACUAUGCACGUCUUGACGGUACCUAAUCAGAAAGCCACGGCUAACUCCGUG
rnacentral:rRNA from 1 species